GUGGAUUAGAUACCCUGGUAGUCCACGCCGUAAACGGUGGGUACUAGGUGUGGGUUUCCUUCCACGGGAUCCGUGCCGUAGCUAACGCAUUAAGUACCCCGCCUGGGGAGUACGGCCGCAAGGCUAAAACUCAAAGGAAUUGACGGGGGCCCGCACAAGCGGCGGAGCAUGUGGAUUAAUUCGAUGCAACGCGAAGAACCUUACCUGGGUUUGACAUAUAGAGGAUCGCCGGAGAGAUUCGGUUUGCCUGGUGCCUUCUAUCCAGGUGGUGCACGGUCGUCGUCAACU
rnacentral:rRNA from 1 species